UAAUACGGAGGGGGCUAGCGUUGUUCGGAAUUACUGGGCGUAAAGCGCGCGUAGGCGGAUCAAAAAGUUAGAUGUGAAAUCCCUAGGCUCAACUUAGGAACUGCAUUUAAAACUAGUGAUCUAGAAUUUGGUAGAGGAUAAUAGAAUUUCCAGUGUAGAGGUGAAAUUCGUAGAUAUUGGAAAGAAUACCAGUGGCGAAGGCGAAUAUCUGGACCAAUUUUGACGCUGAGGUGCGAAAGCGUGGGUAGCAAACAGGAUUAGAUACCCUGGUAGUCCACGCAGUAAACGAUGAGUGCUAGUAGCUGGGUAUUUUUUAUUCAGUUACGUAGCUAACGCAUUAAGCACUCCGCCUGGGAAGUACGGUCGCAAGAUUA
rnacentral:rRNA from 1 species